AUCACAGCUACAUUCGAUUAUGGACACC
rnacentral:sRNA from 1 species